rnacentral:rRNA from 1 species
CAGUAGCCGCGGUAAUACGUAGGGUGCAAGCGUUAAUCGGAAUUACUGGGCGUAAAGCGUGCGCAGGCGGUUAUAUAAGACAGAUGUGAAAUCCCCGGGCUCAACCUGGGAACUGCAUUUGUGACUGUAUAGCUAGAGUACGGCAGAGGGGGAUGGAAUUCCGCGUGUAGCAGUGAAAUGCGUAGAUAUGCGGAGGAACACCGAUGGCGAAGGCAAUCCCCUGGGCCUGUACUGACGCUCAUGCACGAAAGCGUGGGGAGCAAACAGGAUUAGAGACCCGCGUAGUCCCUGUCUCUUAUAC